UGAGGAAUAUUGGUCAAUGGGCGCAAGCCUGAACCAGCCAUGCCGCGUGCAGGAUGAAGCAUCUAUGGUGUGUAAACUUCUUUUGUACGGGAAGAAACCACCCCUCGUGAGGGGUAUUGACGGUACCGUAAGAAUAAGGAUCGGCUAACUCCGUGCCAGCAGCCGCGGUAAUACGGAGGAUCCAAGCGUUAUCCGGAAUCAUUGGGUUUAAAGGGUCCGUAGGCGGGUCUGUAAGUCAGUGGUGAAAUCUUCGAGCUUAACUCGGAAACUGCCAUUGAUACUAUAGGUCUUGAAUCAUCUGGAGGUGAGCGGAAUAUGUCAUGUAGCGGUGAAAUGCGUAGAGAUGACAGGGAAUACCGAUUGCGAAGGCAGGUUACUACCAAUGGAUUGACGCUGAUGGACGAAAGCGUGGGUAGCGAACA
rnacentral:rRNA from 1 species